rnacentral:rRNA from 1 species
AUACGAGUUUGAUCCUGGCUCAGAACGAACGCUGGCGGCAUGCCUAACACAUGCAAGUCGAACGAGACCUUCGGGUCUAGUGGCGCACGGGUGCGUAACGCGUGGGAAUCUGCCCUUGGGUUCGGAAUAACUCAGAGAAAUUUGAGCUAAUACCGAAUGAUGUCGCAAGACCAAAGAUUUAUCGCCCAAGGAUGAGCCCGCGUAGGAUUAGCUUGUUGGUGAGGUAAAAGCUCACCAAGGCGACGAUCCUUAGCUGGUCUGAGAGGAUGACCAGCCACACUGGGACUGAGACACGGCCCAGACUCCUACGGGAGGCAGCAGUGGGGAAUAUUGGACAAUGGGCGAAAGCCUGAUCCAGCAAUGCCGCGUGAGUGAUGAAGGCCUUAGGGUUGUAAAGCUCUUUACCAGGGAUGAUAAUGACAGUACCUGGAGAAUAAGCUCCGGCUAACUCCGUG